CUGGUCUCGGACCUCAAGUGAUCCUCCCACCUCAGCCUCCCAACGUGUUGGGAUUACAGGUGUGAGCCACCAUGUCUGGGCUGAUGUCCAUUUUUUUUACAUAGGGAUGUCAGUUAUUUCAGUAUCAUUUGUUGAAAACAUUAUCCUUUUUCCAUUAAAUUGCUCUUGUACCUUUGUUGAAAAAUGCACUGGUCAUAUAGAAUCUUAUCUUUGCAUGAGUCUAUUUCUAAACUCUAUUCUGUUCCAUCAAUCGAUGUGUCUUUCCCUUCACUAAUACUACAUUGCCCUGAUUACAGUGGCUUCAUUGUAAGUCUUAUAUUCGGGUAACAUGCUUUUUCCAAUUUUAUUGUUUUUUCCAGAAUCAUCUUAGCUAUUUUAGUUUCCUUCCCUUUUCAUAUAAGUUUUAGAACUUGCUUGGUUACAUCUACAAAAAAAAAAAAAGUCCUGCUAAGAUUUUAACUGGUAUUGUGUUAACUGUAUUGAUCAUUUGGAGGGAAUGAUAUGUUUAUUGUGUUGACUCUUCCCAUUCAUGAACAUGGUAUUGCUCUCCACUUAUUUAGGCUUUAUUUCUUUCAUCAGCAUUUUGUAGUUUUCAGCAUACAGAUCCUAUAUAUCCUUUAUUAGAUUUAUACCUAAAUAUUUUAUUUUUAUGAGCUGUUGUAUUUUUAUUUCAGUUUUCAGCUGUGCAUUGCUAAUAUGUAACAAUAUUAUUGAUUUUUAUAUGUUGGCUUUAUAUCCUGAUAUCCUUGCUAAACUCAUUUAUUUGUCCUAGGAAGACUUUUUAAAAAAUUUUGUUUUAUAGAUUCCUUGGGAUUUUCUACUUAGAAAAGCAUGUAAUCUGCAAAUAAGGACAGUUUCAUGUCUUUCUUCCCUAUCCAUAUGCCUUUUAUGUCUUUUUUCUUGCCUUAUUGAAUUGGCUAAGACUUCCCAUUAAGAUGUCAAAUAAAAACAAUGACAGUGGAUAUCCUUUCCUUGCUCAAGUGGGAAAAGCAUUCACUCUUUUACUACUAAUUUUAUGUUAGCUGUGGAUGUUUUUGUAGAUGCCCUCAAUUAGGUUCCAGAAGUUCCUUCUCUUUAGUUUGCUGUGAGUUUUUAUUAAGAAUGGAUGCUGAGCCAGGAGCGGUGCAUUGUGCCUAUAGUCUUAGCUACUCAGGAGGCUGACGCAGGAGGAUCACUUGAGCCUGAGCAUUCAAGAAUCCUGUCUCUUAAAAAAAAAAAAAAAGAAAUUGGAUGCUCAAUGUUGUCAAAUAUUUUUUUCUACCUCAAUUGAUGUGGUUGUAUGGUUGGUUUUUCUUCUUUAGACUGUUAAUAUGAUAUUUUACACUGAUUGAUUUUCAAAUUUGAACCAGUCUUCAUUUCCAGGAUAAAUUCCACUUAAUUGUGAUAUGUUAUUCUUUUUAUAUAUUGUGGAUUUUAAUUUGCUAAUACAGUUGACCCUUGAACAACAUCGGCUUUGAACUGCAUGAGUCCACUUAUAUGUGGAUUUUUUCAAUAAAUACAUUGGAAAAGGUUUUGGAGAUUUGCAACAUUUUGAAAAAACUCACUGCAUAGCCUAGAAAUAUACAAAGAGCAAGAAAAAGUUAGGUAUGUCAUGAAUGCAUAAAAUACAUAGAUAGUGGCCUGUUUUAUCAUUUACUACAUAAAAUAUACACAGACAUAAAAUCUAUUAUAAAAAGUUAAAAUUUAUCAAAACUUAUGCACAUAAACACAUACCACACAUGGUGCCAUUCACAAUCGAGACAAACAUAAAGAUGCAGUAUUAAAUCAAAACUCUAUAAAAUUAACUGUAGUACAUAUUGCAUGACUGUAAUAAUUUAAUAGCUACCUCCUGUUGCUAUUGCAGUGAACUUAAAUGUUGUAAGUAUCCACUGAAAGUACCAUGUGAUGUGAUGUUAAACUCUGUGAGCAGUUUGUCUCUCCAGUAAAUUGCAUAUGAAGCAAGACAACUUCUCUUCUUCUACCUCCUUCUCAGCCUACUCAACAUGAAGAUAAUGAGGAUGAAGACCUUUAUGAUGAUCUACUUUCACUUAAUGAACAGUAAUUAUAUGUUAUCUUCCUUAUAAGAAAUAACAUUCUCCUUUCUCUAACUUUAUUGUUAGAAUACAGUAUAUUAAUACAUAUAACAUAUUAAAUAUGUGCUAUUUAUGUUCCAUAAGGCUUUUGGUCAACAGUAGGCUAUUAGUAGUUAAGUUUGGGGGAGUCAAAAGUUAUGGAUAGAUUUUCUACUGUGGAGGGGUGGUUGGCAUUUGUAAGCUCUAUAUUAUUUAAGUGUCAUGUGUACAUUGUUGAGCAUUUUUGUGACAUCAUAUUAAAGGAUGUUGGUCUGUAGUUUUCUUACCUGGAAAUGUCUUUGUCUUGUUUGGGUAUCAGAGUAAUUCUGGCUUCAUAAAAUGAGCUGGGAAUGCUUUCUCAUUUUCUGGAAAAUAUUGUAAAAUUGGUGUUAUUUCUUUAAAUAUUUGCUCGAAUUUCUCAUCAGAAACAUCUGGGCAUGGAGAUUUAUUUUGGAAGAGAUUUUUUAAAAAUACAAAUUCCAUUUCUUCAGCUACAGGAUAUUCAGUUUACCUAUUCUUGGUUGAAUUUUGGUAGUUUGUGGCUUUUGAGGAUUUGGUCCAUUUUAUCUAAGUUGUCAAAUUUAUGUGCAUAGAAUUUUAAUUGUCAAUGAAGUCUUUAGUGAUAUCCCUUUUUCAUUUCUGAUAUUAAUAAAAUGUGUCUUCUUUGUCAGUCUUGCUA